rnacentral:rRNA from 1 species
UGAGUACGAGAUGCUACGGCGUCGAAGCAGUCUAGGUCAUACUUCCAAGAAAAGCUUGCACUGUCAUAAACAAAGAAUGCCUGUACCAUAACCGACACAGGUGGGUAGGUAGAGUAUACUAAGGGACGCGAGAUAACUCUCUCUAAGGAACUCGGCAAAAUGACUCCGUAACUUCGGGAGAAGGAGUGCCUUAUUUUUAAGGUUGCAAUAACAAGAUCCAAGCAACUGUUUACCAAAAACACAGGUCUCCGCUAAGUCGUAAGACGAUGUAUGGGGGCUGACGCCUGCCCAGUGCCAGAAGGUUAAAGAAGUUGGUUAGCAUUCGCGAAGCUGAUAACUGAAGCCCUGGUGAACGGCGGCCGUAACUAUAACGGUCCUAAGGUAGCGAAAUUCCUUGUCGGGUAAGUUCCGACCCGCACGAAAGGCGUAAUGAUUUGGAUACUGUCUCGGAGAGGGGCUCGGUGAAAUAGACUUGUCUGUGAAGAUGCGGACUACCUGCACCUGGACAGAAAGACCCUAUGAAGCUUUACUGUAACUUGAGAUUGAAAUUGGACUUUAUUUGCGCAGUAUAGGUGGGAGGCGUUGAGAAUAAUCUUGCGGGAUUAUCGGAGCCAUCAGUGAGAUACCACUCUUGUAAUGUUAGAUUUCUAACUUUGUAUCAUUAUCUGGUCAAAGAACAGUUUCAGGCGGGCAGUUUGACUGGGGCGGUCGCCUCCCAAAGGGUAACGGAGGCGCACAAAGGUUUCCUCUGAACGGGUAGAAAUCGUAUCUAGAGUGUAAAGGCAUAAGGAAGCUUGACUGUGAGACCUACAAGUCGAGCAGGGACGAAAGUCGGUCUUAGUGAUCUGACGGUGCUGAGUGGAAAGGCCGUCACUCAACGGAUAAAAGUUACUCUAAGGAUAACAGGCUGAUCUCCCCCAAGAGUUCACAUCGACGGGAGGUUUGGCACCUCGAUGUCGGCUCAUCGCAUCCUGGGGCGGUAGUACGUCCCAAGGGUUGGGCUGUUCGCCCAUGAAAGCGGUACGCGAGCUGGGUUCAGAACGUCGUGAGACAGUUCGGUCCAUAUCCGGUGUAGGCGUUAGAAUAUUGAAAGGAGCCUUCUCUAGUACGAGAGGACCGAGAAGGACAUACCUCUGGUGUGCCAGUUAUCGUGCCAACGGUAAACGCUGGGUAGCUAUGUAUGGAGUGGAUAACCGCUGAAAGCAUCUAAGUGGGAAGCCCACCUUAAGAUAAGUAUUCUCA